rnacentral:rRNA from 1 species
GUUUGAUCAUGGCUCAGGAUGAACGCUGGCGGCGUGCCUAAAACAUGCAAGUCGUGCGGCAGCGCGGGUAGUUUACUACCUGGCGGCGAGCGGCGAACGGCUGAGUAACGCGUGGGAAUCUACCCCAAAGUGAGGGAUAAGCUCCAGAAAUGGAGUCUAAUACCGCAUGUGGUCUUCGGAUUAAAGCUUUAUGCGCUUUGGGAAGAGCCCGCGUUCGAUUAGCUAGUUGGUGAGGUAAUUGCUCACCAAGGCGACGAUCGAUAGCUGGUCUGAGAGGAUGAUCAGCCAGACUGGAACUGAGACACGGUCCAGACUCCUACGGGAGGCAGCAGUUAGGAAUCUUCCACAAUGGGCGAAAGCCUGAUGGAGCAACGCCGCGUGCGGGAUGAAGGCCUUCGGGUCGUAAACCGCUUUUAUAAGCGAAGAAUAUGACGGUAACUUAUGAAUAAGGAUCGGCUAACUCCGUGCCAGCAGCCGCGGUCAGACGGAGGAUCCGAGCGUUAUCCGGAGUGACUGGGCGUUAAAGAUUGC